AAGGUUUUAAGUUAAUAUAAACUAUGAGCCUUCAAAGCUUGAAAAAAAAGUAAAAAUCUUUUAAACCUUG
rnacentral:tRNA from 1 species